rnacentral:rRNA from 1 species
CCUACGGGAGGCAGCAGUGGGGAAUCUUGCGCAAUGGGCGAAAGCCUGACGCAGCAACGCCGCGUGCGGGAAGAAGGCUUUCGGGCUGUAAACCGCUUUCAGCAGGAACGAAAAUGACGGUACCUGCAGAAGAAGGAGCGGCCAACUAUGUGCCAGCAGCCGCGGUGAUACAUAGGCUUCAAGCGUUGUCCGGAUUUAUUGGGCGUAAAGAGUUCGUAGGCGGUCGAGUAAGUCGGGUGUGAAAAUUCUGGGCUCAACCCAGAGACGCCACCCGAUACUGCUUGACUUGAGUUCGAUAGGGGAGUGGGGAAUUCCUAGUGUAGCGGUGAAAUGCGCAGAUAUUAGGAGGAACACCGGUGGCGAAGGCGCCACUCCGGAUCGAUACUGACGCUGAGGAACGAAAGCAUGGGUAGCAAACAGGAUUAGAUACCCUGGUAGUCCAUGCCGUAAACGGUGGGCACUAGGUGUGGGUUUCUAUUAACGAAAUCCGCGCCGUCGCUAACGCAUUAAGUGCCCCGCCUGGGGAGUACGGUCGCAAGCUAAAACUCAAAGGAAUUGACGGCUGAGAGNGCGAGCGACACGAGGAGAG